GGAGGGAGGGGUUCGUUAGGAGGAGGGGGUUCGUUAGGUGGUGGGGAGGAGUCGAGGUGGUGGAGGGUUGUUGAGGCUCGUUAGGUGGUGGAGGGUCAUUAAGGCUCGUUAGGUGGCGGGGACCCAUUGGGGUUCGUUAGGUGGUGGAGACCCAUUAAGGUUCGUUAGGUGGCGGAGACCCAUUAAGGUUCGUUAGGUGGCGGGGGCCCAUUAGGGUUCGUUAGGUGGUGGAGGGUCAUUAAGGCUCGUUAGAUGGUGGAGGGUCAUUAAGGCUCGUUAGGUGGCGGGGACCCAUUAGGGUUCGUUAGGUGGUGGAGGGUCAUUAGGGUUCGUUAGGUGGUGGAGGGUCAUUAGGGUUCGUUAGGUGGUGGAGACCCAUUAAGGUUCGUUAGGUGGCGGGGGCCCAUUAGGGUUCGUUAGGUGGUGGAGGGUCAUUAAGGCUCGUUAGGUGGUGGGGACCCAUUGGGGUUCGUUAGGUGGUGGAGACCCAUUAAGGUUCGUUAGGUGGUGGAGACCCAUUAAGGUUCGUUAGGUGGCGGGGGCCCAUUAGGGUUCGUUAGGUGGUGGAGGGUCAUUAAGGCUCGUUAGGUGGCGGAGACCCAUUAAGGUUCGUUAGGUGGCGGGGGCCCAUUAGGGUUCGUUAGGUGGUGGAGGGUCAUUAAGGCUCGUUAGGUGGCGGGGACCCAUUGGGGUUCGUUAGGUGGUGGAGGGUCAUUAAGGUUCGUUAGGUGGUGGGGACCCAUCAGGGCUCGUUAGGUGGCGGGGACUCAUUAAGGUUCAUUUGGUGAUUGAGGUCCCAGAUUUUGGGGUUCAUUAGAGGAUGAAGACUCGUUAAGGUUCGGUAGAGGAUGGAGACUCAUUAAGGUUCGUUAGGUGGCGGGGACCCAUGGGGGUUCAUUAGCGCAUGGGGCCUCGUUAAAGUUCAUUUGGUGAUCGGGGUCUCAGAUUUCGGGGCUCGUUAGGGGAUGGAGACUCAUUAAGGCAGUGCCAGCCCCUGAGGUGCGGGUUAACGAGGUUUGGGGGGGGGGGCUCGUUAGGGGCUCCCUCGUUAGGGGCUCCGGGCCGGCCCCUCCCCCCCCGGGAUGUACAGAUUUUAUAGGGGGGGAGGGGGGGGGGGCGCGGCGCGUUUUUAACUGUCAAUCGGGGCUAAUAAAAGUGGAUUUGGUUAACGGCCGCGUGCUGGGGGGCACUAACCCCACUAACACCCCCUAUAGGACCCUAUAGGACCCUAUAGAAUCAUAUAGAGCCCUAUAGAAUCAUAUAGAGCCCUAUAGAACCCUAUAGAGCCCUAUAGAAUCCAGAGGGACACC